AUUGAACGCUGGCGGCAUGCCUUACACAUGCAAGUCGAACGGCAGCAUGGAGAGCUUGCUCUCUGAUGGCGAGUGGCGAACGGGUGAGUAAAGCAUCGGAACGUACCGUGUAGUGGGGGAUAACGUAGCGAAAGUUACGCUAAUACCGCAUACGCACUGAGGUGGAAAGCAGGGGAUCGUAAGACCUUGCGCUAUACGAGCGGCCGAUGUCAGAUUAGCUAGUUGGUAGGGUAAAGGCCUACCAAGGCGACGAUCUGUAGCGGGUCUGAGAGGAUGAUCCGCCACACUGGGACUGAGACACGGCCCAGACUCCUACGGGAGGCAGCAGUGGGGAAUUUUGGACAAUGGGGGCAACCCUGAUCCAGCCAUGCCGCGUGAGUGAAGAAGGCCUUCGGGUUGUAAAGCUCUUUCGGCCGGGAAGAAACGGCUCUUUCUAAUAAAGAGGGCUAAGGACGGUACCGUAAGAAUAAGCACCGGCUAACUACGUGCCAGCCGCCGCCGUAAAAC
rnacentral:rRNA from 1 species